AUAUUUUGUUGGGAAAUUUUUCUUCCAAAAAUAUACAAUAUUUAUUCUCUAUUCCUCCCAUCACCAGAUAUGAAGAAAGAAAAAGAAAGAAAGAGAUACCAACCAGAGAUAUGCAACAAUGUAACUAAAAAAGAAACAAAUUUACUAUUAAUUCCCCAUUCUCGUUAUAUGAUAUGAUCAUAUUCAACAACAAUAAGCUGCGUGUGGAAAGUUAGAAAAUCUAAGGGACUAUGAUGUGACCUAUACAGAACCUCUUCUAAAGGGGCAAAAAUUCUGAAAAAUUGUUCAUCCAGAAGAGAGUUUCGAUCUAAUUUUAACUUAAUUCCCCACUUACAAUUGCUUUAGUAUAUGCUCCUGGCAAUAACCGAUCAUUAUUUGUCUCAUGAGAAGCAUCAUAAGUUCUUUUAAUGCAUUCACAGGCAGGUAACCAGGAAAAUGCUGCUCUUUUUCUCAACCAAACCACCUUAUUGGACAGAUCCAUGAAAAUUCCAUGGAAAAAUCUCCAUUACCCUGUCAAAAGUUUUCUGAUGCAAGAGUACCAAAAAUUUACACCUUCAGUCUCUUGUGUUACUGCUUUCUUCAAGCCAAAAGAAAAUUCUCUUGAUUUGUUAUUCUUCCCUGAGAAGGCUUGUAUCAAAACUUACAAGUUCUUCAAAACAAAGCUGUAUGUUUCAUCAUAUGAACUGUGUCAGGGCAAAGCCGCAAUGCAUCACUACAAAAACCUCACCCCAUACAGCAAUCAAAUGUCAAGCCAUG
rnacentral:misc_RNA from 1 species